AGCUCGAGUUCCUCUUCAUUAUCGCAUAAAUCUUUUGCCUUUUAGUAAAGAUUUCCAUGGAGGGGAGCUUCUUGCGAGUGACCAGUAUAUCUGGAGGCUCUGAUCACAGCAGAGCU
ensembl:snRNA U5 U5 spliceosomal RNA